GAUGAACGCUGGCGGCGUGCCUAAUACAUGCAAGUCGAGCGAACAGACGAGGAGCUUGCUCCUCUGACGUUAGCGGCGGACGGGUGAGUAACACGUGGAUAACCUACCUAUAAGACUGGGAUAACUUCGGGAAACCGGAGCUAAUACCGGAUAAUAUAUUGAACCGCAUGGUUCAAUAGUGAAAGACGGAUUUGCUGUCACUUAUAGAUGGAUCCGCGCCGCAUUAGCUAGUUGGUAAGGUAACGGCUUACCAAGGCAACGAUGCGUAGCCGACCUGAGAGGGUGAUCGGCCACACUGGAACUGAGACACGGUCCAGACUCCUACGGGAGGCAGCAGUAGGGAAUCUUCCGCAAUGGGCGAAAGCCUGACGGAGCAACGCCGCGUGAAUGAUGAAGGUCUUCGGAUCGUAAAACUCUGUUAUUAGGGAAGAACAAAUGUGUAAGUAACUAUGCACGUCUUGACGGUACCGAAUCAGAAAGCCACGGCUAACUACGUG
rnacentral:rRNA from 1 species